rnacentral:rRNA from 1 species
GAUGAACGCUAGCGGCGUGCCUAACACAUGCAAGUCGAGCGAGAAUUUAUGAACAGAGACUUCGGUCAAAGUGAUUAAAGGAAAGCGGCGGACGGGUGAGUAACGCGUGAGCAACCUGCCCCUCACACAGGGAUAGCCACUGGAAACGGUGAUUAAUACCUGGUAGACGACAAGUUCGCAUGAACUAAUCGGAAAAGAUUUAUCGGUGGAGGAUGGGCCUGCGUCUGAUUAGCUAGUUGGUAAGGUAACGGCUUACCAAGGCCACGAUCAGUAGCCGACCUAAGAGGGUGAACGGCCACACUGGAACUGAGAGACGGUCCAGACUCCUACGGGAGGCAGCAGUGGGGGGUAUUGCUCAAUGGAGGAAACUCUGAAGCAGCAACGCCGCGUGAGUGAAGAAAUUUUUCGAAAUGUAAAGCUCUGUCCUAUGGGAAGAAGUUGACGUACCAUAGGAGGAGCCCCG